rnacentral:rRNA from 1 species
AUGAACGCUGGCGGCGUGCCUAAUACAUGCAAGUCGAGCGAACAGACGAGGAGCUUGCUCCUCUGACGUUAGCGGCGGACGGGUGAGUAACACGUGGAUAACCUACCUAUAAGACUGGGAUAACUUCGGGAAACCGGAGCUAAUACCGGAUAAUAUAUUGAACCGCAUGGUUCAAUAGUGAAAGACGGUUUUGCUGUCACUUAUAGAUGGAUCCGCGCCGCAUUAGCUAGUUGGUAAGGUGACGGCUUACCAAGGCAACGAUGCGUAGCCGACCUGAGAGGGUGAUCGGCCACACUGGAACUGAGACACGGUCCAGACUCCUACGGGAGGCAGCAGUAGGGAAUCUUCCGCAAUGGGCGAAAGCUUGACGGAGCAACGCCGCGUGAGUGAUGAAGGUCUUCGGAUCGUAAAACUCUGUUAUUAGGGAAGAACAAAUGUGUAAGUAACUAUGCACGUCUUGACGGUACCUAAUCAGAAAGCCACGGCUAACUACGUG